UACAGAGGUCCCAAGCGUUGUUCGGAUUCACUGGGCGUAAAGGGUGCGUAGGUGGUUAGGUAAGUCCGAUGUGAAAUCUCCAGGCUCAACCUGGAAAUGGCAUUGGAUACUAUCUAGCUUGAGGAGUGGAGGGGGGACUGGAAUUCUCGGUGUAGCAGUGAAAUGCGUAGAUAUCGAGAGGAACACCAGUGGCGAAGGCGAGUCCCUGGACACUCCUGACACUGAGGCACGAAAGCUAGGGGAGCAAACAGG
rnacentral:rRNA from 1 species